rnacentral:rRNA from 1 species
CCUACGGGCCGCACCAGUGGGGAAUAUUGCACAAUGGGCGCAAGCCUGAUGCAGCCAUGCCGCGUGUAUGAAGAAGGCCUUCGGGUUGUAAAGUACUUUCAGCGGGGAGGAAGGCGAUAAGGCUAAUAACCUUGUCGAUUGACGUUACCCGCAGAAGAAGCACCGGCUAACUCCGUGCCAGCAGCCGCGGUAAUACGGAGGGUGCAAGCGUUAAUCGGAAUUACUGGGCGUAAAGCGCACGCAGGCGGUCUGUCAAGUCGGAUGUGAAAUCCCCGGGCUCAACCUGGGAACUGCAUUCGAAACUGGCAGGCUGGAGUCUUGUAGAGGGGGGUGGAAUUCCAGGUGUAGCGGUGAAAUGCGCAGAGAUCUGGAGGAAUACCGGUGGCGAAGGCGGCCCCCUGGACAGAGACUGACGCUCAGGUGCGAAAGCGUGGGGAGCAAACAGGAUUAGAUACCCGCGUAGUC